rnacentral:rRNA from 1 species
UACGAAGGGUGCAAGCGUUACUCGGAAUUACUGGGCGUAAAGCGUGCGCAGGCGGUUUUGUAAGCCAGAUGUGAAAUCCCCGGGCUUAACCUGGGAAUGGCAUUUGGGACUGCAAGGCUGGAGUUUGGCAGAGGAGACUGGAAUUCCCGGUGUAGCAGUGAAAUGCGUAGAUAUCGGGAGGAAUACCGAUGGCGAAGGCAGGUCUCUGGGCUAUAACUGACGCUCAUGCACGAAAGCGUGGGGAGCAAACAGG